CACACACACACACACACACACAAACAUGUUUCUGUGUGUGUGUGUGUAUAUAUACACACACACACACACACACACACAUAUAUAUAUAUAUAUAUAUAUAUAUAUAUAUAUAUCACAAAUUUUGGCUUAGGAGUCAUCUUUCCUCUUAGGUUGAUUUUUAAUUCUAACUCCCAGAAAACAAUUAAUUUAUCUUUGUUUUAUUUGUCAUUGAGGCCCAGCAAACCUGAAGUAAAAGGGUGAGAAGGUAGGGUGGGUGCUGGAUAAUGAGAAAUUACUUAAGGGUUAUAAUGUAAAUUAUUUGAGUGAUGGAUACCCUAAAAGCCCUGACUUCGCCACUAUGCAGUCUAUGCAUGUAACUAAAUUACAUUUGUACACAACACUUUUGUAAAAAUAAAUUAAAAAGAACAACUAGA
rnacentral:lncRNA from 1 species